AACGAACGCUGGCGGCAUGCCUAACACAUGCAAGUCGAACGAGACCUUCGGGUCUAGUGGCGCACGGGUGCGUAACGCGUGGGAACCUGCCCUUAGGUUCGGAAUAACUCCCCGAAAGGGGUGCUAAUACCGGAUAAUGUCUUCGGACCAAAGAUUUAUCGCCUUUGGAUGGGCCCGCGUUGGAUUAGCUAGUUGGUAGGGUAAAAGCCUACCAAGGCGACGAUCCAUAGCUGGUCUGAGAGGAUGAUCAGCCACACUGGGACUGAGACACGGGCCAGACUCCUACGGGAGGCAGCAGUGGGGAAUAUUGGGCAAUGGGCGAAAGCCUGAUCCAGCAAUGCCGCGUGAGUGAUGAAGGCCUUAGGGUUGUAAAGCUCUUUUACCCGGGAUGAUAAUGACAGUACCGGGAGAAUAAGCUCCGGCUAACUCCGUG
rnacentral:rRNA from 1 species